rnacentral:rRNA from 1 species
CAGUAGCCGCGGUAAUACGUAGGUGGCAAGCGUUGUCCGGAAUUAUUGGGCGUAAAGGGCUCGCAGGCGGUUUCUUAAGUCUGAUGUGAAAGCCCCCGGCUCAACCGGGGAGGGUCAUUGGAAACUGGGAAACUUGAGUGCAGAAGAGGAGGGUGGAAUUCCACGUGUAGCGGUGAAAUGCGUAGAUAUAUGGAGGAACACCGGUGGCGAAAGCGGCUUUUUGGCCUGUAACUGACACUGAGGCGCGAAAGCGUGGGGAGCAAACAGGAUUAGAUACCCCAGUAGUCCCUGUCUCUUAUAC